AGAGUUUGAUCAUGGCUCAGGAUGAACGCUAGCGGCAGGCUUAACACAUGCAAGUCGAGGGGCAGCACGGGUAGCAAUAUCUGGUGGCGACCGGCGCAAGGGUGCGUAACGCGUGAGCAACAUGCCCGUAUCAGGGGAAUAAUCCAGGGAAACUUGGUCUAAUACCCCAUAGUAAAUAUUAAAGGCAUCUUUAAUAUUUUAAAGCUUUGGUGGAUACGGAUUGGCUCGCGUGACAUUAGCUAGAUGGUAAGGUAACGGCUUACCAUGGCUACGAUGUCUAGGGGUUCUGAGAGGAAGAUCCCCCACACUGGAACUGAGACACGGUCCAGACUCCUACGGGAGGCAGCAGUGAGGAAUAUUGGACAAUGGAUGGAAAUCUGAUCCAGCCAUGCCGCGUGCAGGAAGACGGCCCUAUGGGUUGUAAACUGCUUUUAUAUGGGAGCAAUAAGACCUACGUGUAGGUUGAUGAGAGUACCAUAUGAAUAAGCACCGGCUAACUCCGUGCCAGCAGCCGCGGUAAUACGGAGGGUGCAAGCGUUAUCCGGAUUUAUUGGGUUUAAAGGGUGCGUAGGCGGUUUGAUAAGUCAGCGGUGAAAUAUUUCAGCUUAACUGGAAGGGUGCCGUUGAUACUGUCAGGCUUGAAUUUAGUUGCUGUGGGUGGAAUGUGUGGUGUAGCGGUGAAAUGCAUAGAUAUCACACAGAAUAUCGAUUGCGAAGGCAGCUCACAAAGCUAAUAUUGACGCUGAUGCACGAAAGUGUGGGGAUCAAACAGGAUUAGAUACCCUGGUAGUCCACACUGUAAACGAUGAUAACUCGCUGUCGGCGAUACAUAGUCGGUGGCCAAGCGAAAGCGAUAAGUUAUCCACCUGGGGAGUACGACCGCAAGGUUGAAACUCAAAUGAAUUGACGG
rnacentral:rRNA from 1 species